rnacentral:rRNA from 1 species
UACGUAGGGUGCGAGCGUUGUCCGGAAUCAUUGGGCGUAAAGCGCGCGUAGGUGGCCAUUUAAGUCCGCUGUGAAAGUCAAAGGCUCAACCUUUGAAAGCCGGUGGAUACUGGAUGGCUAGAGUACGGAAGAGGCGAGUGGAAUUCCUGGUGUAGCGGUGGAAUGCGCAGAUAUCAGGAGGAACACCAAUAGCGAAGGCAGCUCGCUGGGACGGUACUGACGCUGAGGCACGAAAGCGUGGGGAGCAAACAGG